GAUAUUGGAAUGACAGGAAAGAAUGCAUCGAUGCAACAACUGAAGGAAAUGGCGUCCUGCUGCCACUGAGGAUGGCAAGGGAGCCCAUGGGUCAAGGGUUGGGGAGAUGGUUCUGCAGUGAAGACAGCUUGCUGCCCUUGCAGAGGAGCUGGAUUUGAUUUCCUGAAAUCACAUGGCAGUCCAAGGCCAUCUCUGACUCCUGUUUUGGUAGAAUCUAAUGCCUUCUUCUCUUCAGGUCUCCACAGGUGACUUAGAGCCAUGUAGAAGAUGGAUUCAAUCUUCAUAAGCAUGAAUGUUGGCCAGCCCCAGAAAUUUUCUUCUGAAUCCACAGAGCAUGUGCUUGGCUACUUCCUUGCCCCAGAAUAGCAUCCUUAGAAGACAAAGAUUACAUAAUGUGGUGACAAUGUCCAAAAUAAACUAUCCUCAGCAUCA